rnacentral:tRNA from 3 species
GGGCCCAUGGCUCAGUUGGUAGAGCGCCUCAUUUGCAAUGAGGAGGUCAGGAGUUCGAUCCUCCUUGGGUCCA